CAUGAUAUCAUUAUCGCACAAGCACUCAGCAAGUUAAGAGAAUGUAUUGACGUGUUAAA
rnacentral:rRNA from 1 species